UAUUGCUCUUCAACGAGGAAUCCCUAGUAAGCGCAAGUCAUCAGCUUGCGUUGAUUACGUCCCUGCCCUUUGUACACACCGCCCGUCGCUACUACCGAUUGAAUGGCUCAGUGAGGCGUCCGGACUGGCCCAGAGAGGUGGGCAACUACCACUACGGGCCGGAAAGCUCUCCAAACUCGGUCAUUUAGAGGAAGUAAAAGU
rnacentral:rRNA from 1 species